rnacentral:lncRNA from 1 species
AUGGAGAACUGCACCCAGCCAGCUGUCAUCACUAAGGACUUCUGCAUGGUUUUCUACUCCCGUGACGCCAAGCUGCCCGCCUCACGCUCCAUUCGCAACCUGUUUGGCAGUGGGAGCCUGAGGGCCACAGAAGGCAACCGUGUGACUGGUGUGUAUGAGCUCAGCCUUUGCCAUGUGGCCGAUGCAGGCAGCCCAGGUAAGAGACUUUCCUGAUUCCUCUCUGCUGGGGCAGAAGUCGGGGCCCUGGGAUGCCUGGCUUCCUUAGCCUCUGCUCCCCUUGACUUCUGCUAAGUUAGGAGCCUUACCUGCAAAGUACAAGUAGUCUCCCUCCAGUCUCCAAGGCGUCCUCAGAUGGGAGGGCAGAGAGGAGUCAAGUUUGCUGGCUGCUGCGACCGCCUAUGCCAUAGUCCCAUGGGAGAGGGACUGUUAGCUUCUUAUGUGUAAGGUCCAUGUGGUCCUGUGGCCCCAGGGUGGACCAAGGUCCUGGGGAGCCAACCUGUGCCUCCAGCAUUGACAUCUUUUGUCAGUGCUAGCUAGUGUGUCAAUCCCCAUACAGGCAUGCAGCGCCGCCGC